GACGAACGCUGGCGGCGUGCUUAACACAUGCAAGUCGAACGCUGAAGCUCAGCUUUUGUUGGGUGGAUGAGUGGCGAACGGGUGAGUAACACGUGAGUAACCUGCCUCCUUCUUUGGGAUAACGCCCGGAAACGGGUGCUAAUACUGGAUAUUCACUGGUCUUCGCAUGGGGGUUGGUGGAAAGGGUUUUUCUGGUGGGGGAUGGGCUCGCGGCCUAUCAGCUUGUUGGUGGGGUGAUGGCCUACCAAGGCUUUGACGGGUAGCCGGCCUGAGAGGGUGACCGGUCACAUUGGGACUGAGAUACGGCCCAGACUCCUACGGGAGGCAGCAGUGGGGAAUAUUGCACAAUGGGCGCAAGACUGAUGCAGCGACGCCGCGUGAGGGAUGGAGGCCUUCGGGUUGUGAACCUCUUUCGCUCAUGGUCAAGCCGCAACAAUGGUUGUGGUGAGGGUAGUGGGUAAAGAAGCGCCGGCUAACUACGUG
rnacentral:rRNA from 1 species